GACGAACCGUGCGAACGUUGUUCGGAAUAACUGGGCUUAAAGGGCGCGUAGGCGGGUUCCUCAGUCCGGAGUGAAAGCCCACGGCUCAACCGUGGGAUGCCGGUCGAUACUGCCGGACUAGAGUUCGGAAGAGGCGAGUGGAAUUCCCGGUGUAGCGGUGAAAUGCGCAGAUAUCGGGAGGAACACCAAUGGCGAAGGCAGCUCGCUGGGACGUUACUGACGCUGAGACGCGAAAGCGUGGGGAGCAAACAGG
rnacentral:rRNA from 1 species